AGGCACUAAAUCUGAAAAGAAGAAAGUGAGACAACCCACUUCUGAAUCAGAAUACUUCUACUGUAAGAAGAAGCGGAAUUGGAAGAGAGAUUGUUUGAAGCUUAAGGAAGAUCAGAAGAAUGGAACUAUCGUUCCAUCUUCAGGGACUAAGAAGAAGUAGAAGGUCAAGCAAGGGAGAAGUCGACCUACGAGUGGGAAAUGGAGCAAGGAUUGCUGCAUUAGUUUUACGCACUUAUUACUUGUCGUUGCCCACUGGGAUGGUUUUGGACUUGGAAGAGUCUUUCCAUCUUCCAAGUAUUACUAAAAACAUAAUUUCUAUUUCUUUCUUAGAUUUUAAGGGAUUUAACUUUGAAAUAAAAGACAAUAGUUGCUCGUUUUAUUUGAAAGAGUU